UAGUACUAUAUUCCACAGGCCAACGGAGCAAGUCGAAGAUUUUUCUCAGCUUGAUGUACUAUUUCAAGUCACGAUCGAGUCGAGAUUCCCUUCCUGCUUCUUACACCCCUGAAGUUGUUUUGCUGAUUAAUGUUAUUACAGAGUCGCCUGUUUGUGUACGAUCGUGCGAUAUAGCGUGAUGUGAUCGAAGUCCAGUUGACUGCGAUAACGUUACAAAUCACACCACCAUUUAACGUUAAUAUUGAGCCGAAUCUCACUUAACCUGCCAUUGUGCUAAAAUGCCAGGUAUGCUGAUUCGUGGAGGCCCAUAGGAUCUAUCGAACUGUUAUAUCAAUCUCGGACUUCAUGGUGUGUGUCUCGGGUACCUGUUUAGGAUGAACUGGCGGUAAUUUGUGAUCAUCAAAAUGACCGCCAUUAUGGAGGGCACCACUUAUGAACAAACGUCACUUCCUAAUUGGACACAAGACGCCAUGAACACUACUACAAAUGGAACCAUGACAACCACCGUCACUCCUCCACUUCCCGAAGUACACCAUGAUCUCAUGUGGCUUGUUCCAACACUGUUCGGCAUGGCGUUCUUCCUGUUGGGAAUGGCCUGGUUCCUUUUCUAUUGUAUCAAAAAGUGUGAACUUGCUACCAUUGCAUUCUGUUACAGAAAGUUUGGUCUGUGUCCGCCGGACAAACGAAGUAAAAUGUUGUACAACUCACUCGGGGAGGACCACGAUACAGAUUCAGAUACGCUUUAUCUAAGGGGUAAGUUGUUCACUGUGACCCCGAAGGAUGAAAGCACGUACCCGGGGGUCCGGAUUUCCAUGCCAAACUACUCCACAAUGUCCCAAGUGCCCGAACUUAUCCUCGACGGACGGGUCCUCAAACCUCCGCCUCCUAAGACAGUCCAGUGAAUAGAUGUGACACCAAAGACGAUACAGCAUGCUUCUACAUCAGAGGUCGAGUCCGGCACAGUCGCGUAACCACCGUUUUGUUUAGGAGGACAUGUUUCAAGUCAUAGUUUACUCAAAUGGAAUUUUGUGUUCAUGAAGUUCACUUGCUAUGAAUUCACACACAAACGAUAUAGACGGUGUGUUUCUCGCGUGCUUUCAUUCGCUUCAUUGUUUGGACAAAACAUGACAGGAGGACGUCCAACCCUUGAAGUGGAGAGCAUAUUCAAGUUAAAAGUUCAGGCGUGCUUCAAUGGAACAAUGUCUCAGAAAUUUACCUGUUAUGCCUUCAAACUCAACCGAUAUAUAUAUCUUCGAUACAUAUAAAUGUUUUCCUUUGUUUGGACAAAACAUGACAUGGAGAACGAUCAUUGACGCGGAGGAUACAUUUCAAGUCGAAAGUCCAGAUGUUCUCAAAUGGAACAGUGUUUCAGAAAUUCUCUUGUUAUGUCCUCACCGAUAUAGACGGUGUUUUCUCGGGCGUUUGCUUAUUUCUUUUGACGUUUCAUUUGGACGUAACGACCCUUGCAGUUGAGGACAUGUUUAAACGUUUGUCCAUGUGUGCUGAAAUGGGAUUUUGUGUCAUGGUGUUUUCCCAUGUUUUCGUUUCCUUUGACAAGACAAAGGGACACCCGACCCUUAAAGUGGAGGACACGUUUAAAGUCAAAAGUCCAAGCGUGCUCAAAUGCAACACUAUUUCAAAAUUUAACUCAUUAUGCUUUGAGACUCCAUCGAUAUUGACGAUUAUUUUCCCGUGCUUUUGUCUCUGUUCGGCAUGACAAGGGUAGGUCCUAUCCUUGACACGUUUCAACUCAUAACAAAUGAAAGUGUUUAAGGAAUUCAUCUGCUGUGCCUUCACACAUGACCGAUAUAGACAGUGCGUUUCUCCCGUUCUUUAGACAAAAACAUUACCUUGGAACAUAAUUAUGUUCGUUUUGCAUCGUCUGGUGGAAGAAUAAAUGGUGAGGAGGGUAAUGUUGUCUGUGUAUUAGAACAAUGGUGUUGAAUGUCCAUAGCUCAUGACCUGGUUUGUGAUCUGAACACACCUGCAGUGACGUCCGUAUGGUAGGACAUACCCGUGCUGAGCUCGAUUCAUCGUUUUCUUGUCUCUUACAGCUGCUUCACGUGUGAUGUGACCCUUACUUUUAUCUGGACGUACCAGACACUUGCUACGUUGGUAUGUCGCCAUGUGAUGUCGCUUCCUGUAUAUUUCACUUGCUCAUGUCCAAUAAUUGUUAAAAUGGUAUCAAUAAGGUUAUUAACAUGGUUGACAUGCUUGUUAACAUAUCAGAUAGGGUUCAUAAUGAGGACUUGAAACACACUUUAUUAUUUGUAUUUAUUGUUUUAUUUUAAACUUCAUGAACAGCGUUUGAAACUAUUUAAUAAUUUUCAAGAAUUCAUAAAAAUCUAUAAUAGUAAUGAGCAAAUGAAACGAAGGGGUAUUAAAUAUUUGUUUGCCAGUAUCUGUAAAACGUUGCUAUGAGCACAUAUGUUAAGGCUGGCAAAAUAGAUCAGAUUGGCUACACGAAAAGCUUGCCAUCGUUUAUCUCCAACGAUUUCCAUUUUUUCAUUUGUUUCAUCAUUAAAAAUAAAUUGGCCUACAUUUUAUAUUAUAUUAAUUACCAUUGUAAAGAAUUUGACAUGUCAUAAUUGUUUUUUUCAGUUGAAUAACAGCAACCAUGGGAAUUUAAACGGGUGUAAUAAAACAAUAGAUGGGACUUUACCUAAGCGUUUUAAAUCUUGCCGUUGAGUAACCAAUAAAGUUAAAUAUAUAACUUACAAAAUAUUCUUUGGUAUCUUCCUUCAAUAUCACAAGGAUCUGACGUGUUCAAACAAAUAUCAAGUUAAUGAAGGUACGAGGAGAAAAGCAUCUCUCCUUUUACAUAUUUCGUUUCCAUAAUACAUUAACUUCCGAUUUUGACAACAUACCGACCAACACUCUUCAUCACAAGAACGUGUUCGUGUGUUCGUUGUAUCUUAACCACUUAAGUUAAAUAAUAUGAAUAUAUAAAAGUUAAUGCAUUAUAAAUAUCCAUCAAAAGUUUUCGCUACAAGGUGAAUAUAGUGAUCUAGUACGAUAAAGUUUAUAUUUUGUCACCUUCAUUACUCCAGGGGUUACGCUCAGUUUCGCUCUCUGCAUCCCUAGGAUAUGUCAUAGCAAAAUUGAAGGAACAAAGAUAGCUUAUUGAUUAGUCUCAGUUAAAAACCCUUGACCAAUCAUUACGCUGAUACCUGUCCAUUGGAGAUUACAAAGGAGCGACACCGAACUUCAAAGCCAAAACUUUAUAAUCAUGAAAAUGAUUCGUAUCGAUAUAGUAGCUCGAUAACGCACAUUUCAUAUCAAUAUUUCAACAAAACUAAAAGUCAUACCGAAUCUAUUGUAAAAUAUAUCGACAACUUUGAUUGUUUUCUUAAACACAUUAUGUAAUAUCAACUAAAACAACACGAAGUCAACAUCAGGUGAAUAGUUAUCUAGGAUGAUAAAGAGUGAAAGAUAACUGAUUUUGAUAACUCCGGUACAGAGAUGGAGUUCAGAACGUGCUUACACUGCAAAUUUCUCUAGCACAACUCCAACCUGAUAUCACACCUGCAUGUAUAUUAACAAUUAGAGAUAUCAAAGUGGGAUAUUGUCAAUAACUUUUUUGUUUAAAUACUUAACCACAUGUAAUAUUCGUAUACAUCGGUUCUGUGAAAUUAUAUAUGAACAAAUAAAAUCAAUAAUGUUUU
rnacentral:lncRNA from 1 species